CCUACGGGGGGCUGCAGUGGGGAAUAUUGGGCAAUGGGCGCAAGCCUGACCCAGCAACGCCGCGUGAAGGAAGAAGGCUUUCGGGUUGUAAACUUCUUUUAAGAGGGAAGAGCAGAAGACGGUACCUCUUGAAUAAGCCACGGCUAACUACGUGCCAGCAGCCGCGGUAAUACGUAGGUGGCAAGCGUUGUCCGGAUUUACUGGGUGUAAAGGGCGUGCAGCCGGGAAGACAAGUCAGGGGUGAAAGCCCGCGGCUCAACCGCGGAACUGCAUUUGAAACUGUUUUUCUUGAGUACCGGAGAGGUCAUCGGAAUUCCUUGUGUAGCGGUGAAAUGCGUAGAUAUAAGGAAGAACACCAGUGGCGAAGGCGGAUGACUGGACGGCAACUGACGGUGAGGCGCGAAAGCGUGGGGAGCAAACAGGAUUAGAUACCCGGGUAGUC
rnacentral:rRNA from 1 species